UACGUAGGCAGCGAGCGUUGUUCGGAAUUACUGGGCGUAAAGAGUGUGUAGGCGGUGCUCUAAGUUCGGUGUGAAAUCUCCUGCUUAACUGGGAGGGUGCGCCGGAAACUGGGGUGCUCGAGCGUGGGAGAGGAAAGCGGAAGUUCCUGGUGUAGCGGUGAAAUGCGUAGAUAUCAGGAGGAACACCGAUGGCGAAGGCAGAUCUCUGGGCCGUAACUGACGCUGAGGAGCGAAAGCAUGGGGAGCGAACAGG
rnacentral:rRNA from 1 species